rnacentral:rRNA from 1 species
GACGAACGCUGGCGGCAUGCCUAACACAUGCAAGUCUAGGGGUAGCAAUACCACUGGCGCACGGGUGAGUAACACGUAGGUUAUCUGCCCCCAUCACAGACAUAACCCCGGGAAACCGGGGCUAAUAUCUGAUGAGGUCGCGAGAUCAAAGCUUCGGCGGAUGGGGAUGAGCCUGCGGCUGAUUAGCUAGUUGGUGAGGUAAUGGCUCACCAAGGCGACGAUCAGUAGCUGGUCUGAGAGGACGAACAGCCACACUGGAACUGAGACACGGUCCAGACUCCUACGGGAGGCAGCAGUGAGGAAUAUUGGUCAAUGGGAGCAAUCCUGAACCAGCAAUGCCGCGUGUGGGAUGACAGGGCUUCGCCUUGUAAACCACUGUCGGACGGGACGAAAGGAGGCCUCGGGCCUCUGGGACGGUACCGUCAAAGGAAGGAUCGGCUAACUACGUGCCAGCAGCCGCGGUAA